rnacentral:rRNA from 1 species
AGAGUUUGAUCCUGGCUCAGAACAAACGCUAGCGGCGUGCCUAACACAUGCAAGUCAGACGAGAAAGUUCGCUUCGGUGAAUUAGUAGAGUGGCGCACGGGUGAGUAACGCGUGGACAAUCUGCCCUAGAGUUAGGAAUAACCCACCGAAAGGUGGGCUAAUACCGAAUAAUGCUAUAUUUCUUCGGGAGUAUAGCCAAAGAUGGCCUCUGUUUACAUGCUAUCGCUCAAGGAUGAGUUCGCGUACCAUUAGCUUGUUGGUGGGGUAAAGGCCUACCAAGGCGACGAUGGUUAGCUGGUCUGAGAGGACGACCAGCCACACUGGAACUGAGACACGGUCCAGACUCCUACGGGAGGCAGCAGUGAGGAAUCUUGCGCAAUGGGGGAAACCCUGACGCAGCAACGCCGCGUGAGUGAGGAAGGCCUUCGGGUCGUAAAGCUCUGUCAGGUGGGAAGAAAUGUAUGAAGGCCAAUACCCUUCAUGCUUGACGGUACCACCAGAGGAAGCACCGGCAAACUCCGUGCCAGCAGCCGCGGUAAUACGGGGGGUGCAAGCGUUGUUCGGAAUUAUUGGGCGUAAAGAGCGUGUAGGCGGUUAGGCAAGUCAGAUGUGAAAGCCCUGGGCUCAACUCAGGAAGUGCAUUUGAAACUGUUUAACUAGAGUAAGAGAGAGGAAAGUGGAAUUCCUGGUGUAGAGGUGAAAUUCGUAGAUAUCAGGAGGAACACCGGUGGCGAAGGCGGCUUUCUGGCUCUAUACUGACGCUGAGACGCGAAAGCGUGGGGAGCAAACAGGAUUAGAUACCCUGGUAGUCCACGCCGUAAACGAUGUUCACUAGGUGUUGGGGGUAUUGACCCCCUCAGUGCCGCAGCUAACGCAUUAAGUGAACCGCCUGGGGAGUACGGUCGCAAGAUUAAAACUCAAAGGAAUUGACGGGGGCCCGCACAAGCGGUGGAGCAUGUGGUUUAAUUCGAUGCAACGCGAAGAACCUUACCUGGACUUGACAUCCCGAGAACCCUCUGGAAACAGAGGGGUGCUCUUCGGAGAACUCGGUGACAGGUGCUGCACGGCUGUCGUCAGCUCGUGUCGUGAGAUGUUGGGUUAAGUCCCGCAACGAGCGCAACCCUUGUCUUUAAUUGCCAUCAUUAAGUUGGGCACUUUAAAGAGACUGCCGGUGUUAAACCGGAGGAAGGUGGGGAUGACGUCAAGUCCUCAUGGCCUUUAUGUCCAGGGCUACACACGUGCUACAAUGGGUGGUACAAAGAGCAGCGACCUCGCGAGAGGAAGCAAAUCUCAAAAAGCCAUCCUCAGUUCGGAUUGGAGUCUGCAACUCGACUCCAUGAAGUCGGAAUCGCUAGUAAUCGUGGAUCAGCAUGCCACGGUGAAUACGUUCCCGGGCCUUGUACACACCGCCCGUCACACCCGGAAAGUUGAUUGCACCAGAAGUCGUUGAGCUAACCUUUUAACGAGGAGGCAAGCGCCGACGGUGUGGUUGGUAAUCGGGGUGAAGUCGUAACAAGGUA